rnacentral:rRNA from 1 species
AUGGCUCUGCUCCGCGCUGCCGCCGCCGCCCUCCGCCGCCGCGCCCGCGUCGCCGCUCUCCCGGCCAUCUCCCCCUUCCCCCACACCCACUCCUCCUCUCCCUCCCCCAGUCCCGCCCCCAACCCCCCCGCCCGGCGCCACCUAAUCACCCUAAGCCGCCGCAGCCCAUGCCUUCACCCACCCUCCGCCUCCGCGGCGGCGUCCUCGUUCUACAUCGACAGGAUCUUGCUGCCCAGCAGCUUCUCGCACCCGCUCUCGACCUCCUCCCGGGACAAGGACACGGACAAGGACAAGGAGGACAACAUCCCGCCGCCGGCGCCGGCGUCGUGGGUGGAGAGGUGGCUCCCGGAGGCGGCGCGGCCGUACGCGAUGCUCGCCCGGCUCGACAAGCCCAUCGGCACCUGGCUCCUCGCCUGGCCCUGCAUGUGGUCAAUCACGAUAGCAGCGAUGCCGGGGGAGCUCCCCGACUUGAAAAUGCUGGCGCUCUUCGGAUGCGGGGCUGUCCUCCUCAGGGGAGCUGGUUGCACGGUGAAUGAUCUUCUCGACCGCGACAUUGAUAACAAGGUUGAGCGCACCAAAAGCAGGCCCUUUGCAUCAGGCGCUCUAACCCCUUCUCAAGGAGUGGCCUUCCUUGGAGCUCAGCUACUGCUGGGAUUGGGCAUUCUUCUCCAACUUAACAACUUCAGCCGUGUUCUUGGGGCAUCUUCUCUUCUUCUGGUGUUUUCUUAUCCCCUGAUGAAGAGGUUCACAUUUUGGCCUCAGGCAUAUCUCGGCUUAACCUUCAACUGGGGAGCUUUGUUAGGAUGGGCUGCUAUCAGAGGGAGCUUAGACCCUGCAGUCAUCCUUCCACUGUAUACUGCUGGUAUAUGUUGGACAUUGGUGUAUGAUACCAUAUAUGCACAUCAGGACAAAGAAGAUGACCUCAAAGUAGGUGUCAAGUCCACAGCAUUAAGGUUUGGGGAUUUGACCAAGCAAUGGAUCAGUGCCUUUGGCGCUGCAUCUAUUGGCAGCUUAGCGCUCAGUGGCUACAAUGCUGAACUUGCGUGGCCCUACUACCCUCUUCUGACAGCUGCAGCUGCACAUUUGGCAUGGCAGAUUUCAACCGUUGACUUAUCUGACCGUGCAGAUUGCAACAGGAAGUUUGUAUCCAAUAAGUGGUUUGGAGCUUUGGUGUCCAGUGGAAUUUUGUUGGGGCGACUCGCAUCAUGA